AUACGGAGGGUGCAAGCGUUACUCGGAAUCACUGGGCGUAAAGCGCGCGCAGGCGGUCUUUUAAGUUGGAUGUGAAAGCCUACGGCUCAACCGUAGAACUGCAUCCAAAACUAUUAGACUAGAGUGUGGGAGAGGAAGAUGGAAUUAGUUGUGUAGGGGUAAAAUCCGUAGAGAUAACUAGGAAUACCAAAAGCGAAGGCAAUCUUCUGGAACACUACUGACGCUGAGGCGCGAAAGCGUGGGGAGCAAACAGGAUUAGAAACCCCAGUAGUAC
rnacentral:rRNA from 1 species